rnacentral:rRNA from 1 species
UACGUAGGGUGCAAGCGUUGUCCGGAAUUAUUGGGCGUAAAGAGCUCGUAGGCGGUUUGUCGCGUCUGCUGUGAAAUCCCGAGGCUCAACCUCGGGUCUGCAGUCGAUACGAGCAAACUAGAGUGUUGCAGGGGAGACUGGAAUUCCUGGUGUAGCGGUGAAAUGCGCAGAUAUCAGGAGGAACACCGGUGGCGAAGGCGGGUCUCUGGGCAACAACUGACGCUGAGGAGCGAAAGCGUGGGGAGCAAACAGG